GUAUGUAGAGACCACUUUGCUCCAGAUGGGGAGGAAAAUGGUCGAAAGAAGUCCCAGAACAACCCAGGGAAAGUGUAGACCCUACUGCUCAGGCAAAAAUUCAAUUUUGAGGGUGAGAAUUUUCAGCCUGGUUCCUGAAAGUGUCCUAGACAAGGAAGAUGCAUUCUCACCACCACGCUGGGCCAUUCUGGAUAAAACCAAACCUGCUUCUUGGCAAAGGUCAGUGGUAAUGUCAGUAGCGUCUCAGACACCUGCCCAUGGAUGCCUUCUGCCAGGCAGCCAGAUGGCUCAUUACGACCCACAUGUAGCUCUCUAGGCCCAGUGCCCUGGCUUGGUGGCAGCAGAUGGCCUGGGGGACAGGGGCUUGGUCUCAUUGCUCAGAGUGUUCUCAGAGACCGUCUUGGGAUUAGCAAACUCAGGGGAUACCAAGGAAGAUUUCCUUAGACCUGGGUGGACCCAACUUAGAGUUUACUUCUAAGUAACUAGUUCUAAACUCUAGAAAAGUAGAAUAAAAUGAAAUAUACUUAUUACUUGCCAGGAAGUGGUUGAAUUCUUGCUGUUACUAUAAUGCUACUAUUUGGUAUUAUUUCAAGUAAGUAAUCAGAGGGUUUCAAUAUUUAAAAAUAAAUAAUGGCUGGGCGUGGUGGCUCACCCCUGUAAUCCUAGCAUUUUGGGAGGCUGAGGCGGGCAGAUCAUGAGGUCAGGAGAUCGAGAUUAUCCUGGCUAACACAGUGAAGACCCCGUCUCUACUAAAAAUACAAAAAACUAGCUGGGCGUGGUGGCGGGUGCCUGUAAUCACAGCUACUCGGGAGGCUGAGGCAGAAGAAUCGCUUGAACCCAGGAGGCAGAGGUUGCAGUGAGCUGAGAUCACACCACUGCACUCCAGCCUGGGCAACAGAGUGAGACUUCGUCUCAAAAAUAAAAUAAAAUAAAAUAAUAAAACAAAAUAAAAAUAAAUAAAUAUACAAGAAAACCACUGACCCUUCACUAAAUUGGUAGUUGUCAUCACACUUAAUCACUGCCUUGCCGGCAAUAUCAUUCCCUUCUGGAAAACCUGUCAUCAGCAGCUGGCAGGAACUCACACCGUUCUUAAAUUUAUCUGUUAAUAGAUGGUUUGACUGCAACUUUUUUUUUUCUUAACUUUUAAGCAGUAGCAAUUCAACACUGAAAAGGAAUGUGAUGUUUAUUGCUGUUUUCCCCCAGGAACAAAGAAAUCUGGCAGGACACACACAGGUACAGCAUGGACCUGCUUUCGGAGUUAUGCAUAAUGAUUUUUUAAGUUGGAGUGUGUUUGGAUGAGGAGGGACAAGAAAACUGCUUCUGCAGGGGAGGUGGUCCCCACUGCAGCUUCAUCUGUCCCUAGGCCACCUCCCUGCAGCCACCCCAGGCAGUCGUGCAGGACGUCAUGUCCUGGCUGCUUUCCUCUGAGUCACAGAGCUCGCCACAGCACUUCUUCCUCCGCCUCUUACAGGCCUGGCCAGCCAGGAAGUCACAACCACAGCUAAGAGGUUCUGUGCUGAGCAUCUACAGUAGCCCCCAAGUGAGGCCAGAGGUAGAUGGUAAUGGGUCUGAGGCUUGGGGCCAUUUCACAGGACAAUCAUCUCUAUACUUUUCAUUUUGGUUUUAGAACUCUGUGGGAUUUCUUUAUCUCAAAUGCCCUUAUCAGUCUGCAGAUCUCCUGAAGGCUCAUCUGGUUUGCUAGGUCUUAGUCUGCUCAAUACAGAUGAUAAGAUAGUGGGUGAAACAAGAGGUUUGGUAACAUAAGUUCCUGAUGACAUGAGUUGUACACAGUAUAUGUGCAAUUUCUCAACACAUGUUUGGCCUAAACACUUGCAAAUACACCAUCCUGAGCUAAGAGAGUGACUUUCUUUGAUUUUUUUUUUCUUUAAGCAAUGACACUAAUCCAACAACAAUCAUUGGAGAAUGCCUACUAUUUUCCAGGCAUUCUCACAAGACCACCAGAUUCAAUGUGAGAGAUCCCCUGCCCUCUAGAGUUUUACAGGUUAAUGGAAAGGGGUUUUUACCAAGAAGCGCAAAUCCAAAUUACUCGUUUCUUAUGUUAGCAACUUCACCCUCAGGAGUAAGCAGCAGCAGCAGCCAAGGGGCACACAGAGCCACAGGCUAAACACGGUCCACAGCUUCCUGAAAUCAAAGGGCUUCAAAGAUUUGGAAGACACAUUUCUUUUGAUUUUUAAAGCAACCACACACCUAUUCUGGAAUAGUGUACAAAAAUCACAUAGGCCAUCCCGACUCCUAACUGAAUCCCCUCUUCCACCGUCAGAGGACGAGGGCACUUUUUGGCAUGAUGGAGAGAAGCGAGGGGGCAGGGGUGGCCAGAGAGACGGCUGGAGUGGAGGCGGGGGCACCAGCGUGGGGUGAAGGCAGAGGCACCACGGGAAUGUAAAUUGCAGGACGCAUCCUGAGGCAGAAUGAGGGAGAAACAUUCACCAGAAGCUUCAGACUGGGAGGAGACAGAGUCUUUGAGGCAACCCAGGGGCUUCUUAGCUGCAGCUGUGUCUGCUUUGAAGUUCAGUCCACUCUCCCCAGGAAGCCAAGAGGCUCUCAAGUGCUUGCAGCAGAGAAGUUUCAUAGAACAGAAAGAGCAGACAGAGGCACGCUGCGCCCUCCAGCACGGCUGCCUGGCAGGAAGCUUUGCUGAGUAACUUUGGUUUUAGUUGGAAACCUUCUGUCAUGUUCCUGUCGGGGCAGUGUGGGGAGUGUGGGCUGCACUGUGGCGGGUGGGUUAGAUUUCCUCCUUCCAUGCAGUGGACAGGGAUGUGGGAUGGGGGCACGAAGCCAUGGACAAGUGGAUAACUGACCUUGAGAAGAUGUAGAGGUCACCACAGAGGGUUUCCAACUCACGAAAGCAUUUCUGCUAUGGGAAGGACAAGGGACGCUGGCCUAUGGAACAGGCCACCGGAGAUUCCAGAGCAGAGCCCUGCCCAGGCCUCCAGACUUGUGGCUUUAAUUAUCCAGUUAGUCAUAGGUUUACUGUCAUCCAAGUUUAAGAAGCUUGACUGUGACCCAUGUGCAAAAAAAGGUUGUUCAGGCUUUUUUUUUUUUUUUAAAGCCACUCUGGGCUGUUCAGCAGGCUGAGACAGGAUCCCCAGAGCCCACCAGCCCUGCAGAAGUGGGGACUGCCUACCUGCACUUUUCUUUCUUAGGCACUUUUAUCUUGAACACAGAGCCUCAGGCAUUGGCCAGUCCGGUUAGUCUGGAAAAACUUGAGAGCCAACAGUUUAUUUCUGCUCUGAGGGCAGUUUCACUAGCACAGAGCACAUGGCGAGCAGAGCCCAGAUUACAAGGCUGGGCGGGGCGGGGCGGGGGCGGGGGCGGGGGCGGGGGUGCAGGUGAGGUGCUUCGGCUCUGACGGGCGCUGGGCUGCUCACCCAGUUUUACAUGGGAAGUGGUAGGGCCCUGUCUCCCCUGGCCCCUGCCCAUGCCCCGGGAGAAAUGGGAGAGUCCUGCUCCUCGCUUAGCUCAGCACAGCGAGUCCCCUGGCUUCAGCUUCCCUCCUGAGCACCUGACGGUUGUCGGUUUACUGUGACUCACUGCCAUUCUAUCUGCCUGGGCUUAUGUUUCCAGCAUCUCACCAGAGCUGUUGUGACCCAUCUCCUGGGCAAAGCCUUCCACGGAGAGGCUGCCGGGCCAGCAGGAGAGGAGACCCAAUCCAUCCAUCAGCAUUUGAAUAAUUCCAUCCACACAUACUUCUCUUCCAAACACCCGGGCUAUUUUCCUUUCCCUGAGCCAUGCAAGCCCAAGGAGCCAGCAGGGUUGCGUGCUCUCAGGAGUAGGACACGUCACAUCAACUUGAGUGCUCCAGGAGCCCUGCCACAAUGGUUUCUUUGUGAGAUCAUCUUUGCAGCGGUUUCCUGAAGCUCUGGCCUCCUUCCUGGUAUCUUCACACAUUCUAGGUGUUUCAAUUCAGUAAAAACAUAAGGGCCUUUUGACUGCUCACUCCUGCACUUCACACUGGGAAGGACACAGAAGUCCCCAGAGAGUGCCCUGGACGACAAAAUGUAGUUCAGAGGUAUCUAAGGUGGGUUCCACCCAAAAGGGUCCCACAAAGAAAGAAUUCCAGGGCCAAUUAAAUUUGGGGAUCUGCAUAGUCCAUCUCUCUCUUGGUGAUUCAAAACAUAUAUUUAUAUAUAUUAAAGGUUCUGAGAAGUCCUGUAAGUAAAUCCUGUUCCACUUUUUAACCCACCAUCUCCCAAACCCAGCAUGAUACUGAUAUCAGCAUGCUACUCUUUUCAUAUAACACCUACUUAUAUAUGAAGGAACUAAUUGAGGUCUUUUGAGAUAUAUUUUAGGAAAUGAUCUAACAGUGGUUUUUAACCUAAGGAAACACCUCACUAGAGAGUGCUUGGGCACAGGAGGUGGCAUUUUGGGUUGUCACAAAGAUGGGGAGGUGCUACUUGCAUUUCAUACAUAGGGGUUGUGGGGGCAGGGGCAGCUAGUGCUGUUACAGUGAUGAUGCAAUGCGGCCCCGUCCCAAGUGGGGUGGGGGGCACUGUCCUGCCCUAAAUGCCCACAACUCUCCCCACGCCGCUCUCCCACCCCAUUGAGAAGCAGUGGUUGGACCUACGCUCAGCAUUGUGCUCCCAGGCCCUCUCUGCGGGUUCAAACGCCUCUUGAUGUCCUCUUGGU
rnacentral:lncRNA from 1 species